rnacentral:rRNA from 1 species
UGCAGUCGAGCGGACAGAUGGGAGCUUGCUCCCUGAUGUUAGCGGCGGACGGGUGAGUAACACGUGGGUAACCUGCCUGUAAGACUGGGAUAACUCCGGGAAACCGGGGCUAAUACCGGAUGGUUGUUUGAACCGCAUGGUUCAGACAUAAAAGGUGGCUUCGGCUACCACUUACAGAUGGACCCGCGGCGCAUUAGCUAGUUGGUGAGGUAACGGCUCACCAAGGCAACGAUGCGUAGCCGACCUGAGAGGGUGAUCGGCCACACUGGGACUGAGACACGGCCCAGACUCCUACGGGAGGCAGCAGUAGGGAAUCUUCCGCAAUGGACGAAAGUCUGACGGAGCAACGCCGCGUGAGUGAUGAAGGUUUUCGGAUCGUAAAGCUCUGUUGUUAGGGAAGAACAAGUGCCGUUCAAAUAGGGCGGCACCUUGACGGUACCUAACCAGAAAGCCACGGCUAACUACGUGCCAGCAGCCGCGGUAAUACGUAGGUGGCAAGCGUUGUCCGGAAUUAUUGGGCGUAAAGGGCUCGCAGGCGGUUUCUUAAGUCUGAUGUGAAAGCCCCCGGCUCAACCGGGGAGGGUCAUUGGAAACUGGGGAACUUGAGUGCAGAAGAGGAGAGUGGAAUUCCACGUGUAGCGGUGAAAUGCGUAGAGAUGUGGAGGAACACCAGUGGCGAAGGCGACUCUCUGGUCUGUAACUGACGCUGAGGAGCGAAAGCGUGGGGAGCGAACAGGAUUAGAUACCCUGGUAGUCCACGCCGUAAACGAUGAGUGCUAAGUGUUAGGGGGUUUCCGCCCCUUAGUGCUGCAGCUAACGCAUUAAGCACUCCGCCUGGGGAGUACGGUCGCAAGACUGAAACUCAAAGGAAUUGACGGGGGCC